GCUUGGUUUAGUUAGGGGGGCAUAAACUAAUUCAGACCCAAAUUUGGGUCUUCAACUAAGGCCUUUUUGAGGGGACUCUAUGUUUCACCACCAUAUUGUCCUCCAAAACAGACUUGGACAUUU